GUGGGGAAUAUUGGACAAUGGGGGGAACCCUGAUCCAGCCAUGCCGCGUGUGUGAAGAAGGCCUUUUGGUUGUAAAGCACUUUAAGCGAGGAGGAGGCUACCGAGAUUAAUACUCUUGGAUAGUGGACGUUACUCGCAGAAUAAGCACCGGCUAACUCUGUGCCAGCAGCCGCGGUAAUACAGAGGGUGCAAGCGUUAAUCGGAUUUACUGGGCGUAAAGCGCGCGUAGGUGGCCAAUUAAGUCAAAUGUGAAAUCCCCGAGCUUAACUUGGGAAUUGCAUUCGAUACUGGUUGGCUAGAGUAUGGGAGAGGAUGGUAGAAAUCCAGGUGUAGCGGUGAAAUGCGUAGAGAUCUGGAGGAAUACCGAUGGCGAAGGCAGCCAUCUGGCCUAAUACUGACACUGAGGUGCGAAAGCAUGGGGAGCAAACAGGAUUAGAAACCCUAGUAGUCC
rnacentral:rRNA from 1 species